rnacentral:rRNA from 1 species
UACGUAGGCAGCAAGCGUUGUUCGGAGUUACUGGGCGUAAAGGGUGCGUAGGUGGCUCUAUAAGUAUGGUGUGAAAUCUCCCGGCUUAACUGGGAGGGUGCGCCGUAGACUGUGGGGCUAGAGUGUGGGAGAGGAAAGUGGAAUUCCUGGUGUAGCGGUGAAAUGCGUAGAUAUCAGGAGGAACACCGGUGGUGUAAACGGCUUUCUGGACCAUAAACUGACACU